UUAUUUCAACGUGUUUUUGGAGGUUUUGAAGCGGUUCGGAUUCUAUAAUCUGACAUAAAUAGGGCGCGCGAGAAACUCAUAGGGUGAGAAAAUAAACAAUCUAAAGCGAGGUAUAAAGCCCACAAGUGAUGUAAUACAAUUUCCAAUACCGAGACCCUUCCGUUUUGAGAGUUCUUGGAUAUUGGAUUUGGAGGACUAGUAUGAAGAGAUGGUUAAAUAUGCUUGGAAAAUCAAAUUUUGGUGUUAUAGAACCCAACAAAUAUUCAAAAGGAAGGUAUACAUUAGGAAAAUGAAUUCUAUUGAUAGUCUUAUAAUCCAUAAGAGAAGCAUAAUGUCUAGGCUCCAAGGCACUCAAAGGGCUAUCCACAAUGGUAGUGGACACAAAUCAAGAGGAGCAUAUGUUGUUCCACAGAUCAAGGGCAAACUGGUUAGUUGGUGGGGAUAGUAAUACUCGAUAUCACUAUCUCGAAGCUGUUUACAAAGGAGAAGAAAGAAUAAAAUUGUGAUGUUACAAUGGUCAGUGGACAGAAGAUGUGAACAAGUUCAAGUCAUGGUGAACUUGCUGAUGGUUCCGAACAAAUAUUAGUUUUCCAAGUCUUUAAAACACCAUGAUUGUUAGAACGAGGGUGCGUCUUAGUCAAAAUAAAAUCAAGCAGGCAGUGUUUAGCACGAACCCUUAAAAGGCACCAAGCAGGAUGGUUUUCCAGCUGGGUUUUAUAAGAAUUCAUGGCAUAGAAUCGAUAAAAUUGUGUGUGUGAGCACGCGUAUGGGUGUGCGUGUGUGUCAAUAGAUUAUACGAGUGUUUUGGUGACAUUGUCUCUUCUUACCAAACUGGCUUUAUAGCCCAAAGCCCUUUCCUCUCGAUGUCUUUUAUUUCUUCAAUUUACUCAUUCCUUUGUCCAAAGUGUGCCUUUCACUUGUGCCUUUCAAUUUAUUACAACACUCCAUACAUCAAGUCAAACAAAUUCUACCUAAAAGGGAUAUUAACAUACUUGUAACUGUAACUGUAAGCUCCUUACACUUGAAAUUGUUUACACAUUUUUGCAUAAUUGAUCAUUCAUUUCCUCUUCUGCCUGCCUUCUUACAAAACUUGUGGCGGAUAAACAAGCAAUAGAUGUCCAAACCAUGUGAAAAACAUCAGAUUCCCAAAGAAUAAUUUUUGCACUCUUACAUAAUAUUAUUUUCUCAUCCGAUGAAAUCUUUUCUAUGUUCGAUUAUCGAUUAACUACUAUGACCAGCUAAAAUAAUAGAAUAGCACAUACUUCCUUGAGAAAUAAUGCCAAUAACACGCGAUUUCAAAUCAGCUUCUUCUGUCUUAUUCUCGAAGUCUAGUGCAAUCGGCAAUUUUCCAAAGGAAUCAUUUAUGUUGCCCUGUUAUUUAAGCUUAUCAUAGUCUCAUACAAACACGUCCCUUUUCUUUUUUCUAUCCAUGAUAUGCCAUUAAUCAUGUGGAAUUUAACAAAAACUGAUAUACUAAAUGCAUGUAAACAGCACACGCUAUGUUGAGACAUUAUAUAUUAAAAUUUGCAAGUAAACUCAUUAUGUUUUUCAUUUCUUCAGUGAUUAGUUAAAAGAACGACACAAUUAACAAUCAUAAUUUAACCUAACUUAAAUUUGAUCAUAACCAACCAAUAUGAGAACAAAAAAAUAAAAAUAAAAAAAGCAAACAUUGUACUUAAUAUAUGGGUUAUACUGGCAGCUCAAGACAUGAGAAGUUAGAUCUGCAAAGCGGUACCCAAAAUUUCAUUUAUGCACAUAUAAUAAGGCCACUGAUAACACUAAUCUAUUAGAGAGCCUUUUUCCAGUUUAGUGCAUUACCUAAAACAUGAACACAAAGCUAAAAGUUUAUCUUUAGUUUUCAUUCGUACACAACAUCUUAAAAGAAAUUUGCAAAAGACAUUCUAACAAGGAAUUGUAAGUGAUGUUCAAGCACUUUAGAAUUUCUUUUGUUGAUGUUUCACACAAUUUCUUUAAAGAUAGUGUAUGACAAGUGAAGAUUAAAGAUAACAUAAAUUUG
rnacentral:lncRNA from 1 species